AAUGGAUAUCCUCAAGAGCCGAAUACUUUGCCAAGGCCCGAGUAGAGAUGGUCUAUACAACAUAUCACUUCAAUCGGCCAAUUCUCAUGCACCAGUUAUCAAUGUUGCUGAAUUUUGUACCUGGCAUGCGCGUCUCGGACAUACGCAAUUUCGUACCAUUCAACAAGUUCUUCAUCACAGUAAUUUGUCUUUCAAUAAAUUAGAUUCUAGUCGUUGCAGUGCUUGUCAAAUCAGUAAAUCACAUAAAAUUCCCUUUGU
rnacentral:misc_RNA from 1 species